CAGUAUGUAGCUCAAUGGUAGAGCACAUGCCUAGCAUGUGCAUGGCCCUGGGUUCUAUCCCCAGUACUGC
rnacentral:tRNA from 1 species